UAUCCUUCAGGAAAAAUCUGGGACUUAACCCCACACUUCCCUAACGUUACCAGGCCAGCAGGCGGCUGGCUGGGUCAGCAAAGGCCCGCGACCCGUGGAAGAUCCAGGUGCAGAAUUAUGAAGACGAAAUGUAGAGCAUCAGUCCCGGACACACACGACACGAACUCCCCUGAACCACCUCAUCUCACUGUCCUUGAUGAAGAUCGUGCCCAAAGCUGAAGCCGUCAUUUCAACAAGUUGUUUUGAACAUGGGAUUGUUAGGAAGAAGACAACUUCCACCUUUUCUUACAGCUGCGCUUCUCCUAGGGGACUCCACACAUAAAAAACCUGUCAAAGUGGCUAUCCUCAACAAAUCAGCAAGCACCAGUUCCUUUGGAGUCUACCGUUACAAACAAAAGCAGCCUGAGAAACAUCCCACCUGCCCUUGCUGGCACCCGAACCCUCCCUGACCAUGGUCAGUGGGCUCCUGGAGAGGGCAGAGGCCAGCGGACUCUCGGGCAGUUUGGGGGUGACCUGCGGCAGGCCGGUUCCCGAGAGCGGGCCAGACCCUGCUCUCGGCCUGACGGGCACAGGAAAGACGCCCGGAAUACAAAGGAGCCGCACUGAAUGCUGUGGUCAUCUCUGCUGCUUUGUGCAUCGUGGUCGUGCUUGAGGACUGCGCUCCCUCGCUAACCACGUCACCCUCUCCCUGACCACUGACCGGACACGGAGAACCCUGUCCCGUGGUGUCAAGCACAUCAGAGAGGCCACUAGUUAAAAACGCAUCUUUUCUUAACUUAAUUUGGGAUUGACUCUAGUCGAGGCCUGGUGCAUUUUGUCUUUGUAACAUUUUAAACCAACCUUUUCAAAGAUUCAUGUAUGUAUAUAUAUUUUUCCUGGUGUAGCUAUUAUUGGUUUGCUGUAUCUUUUCUGGUUUGCUCCCUUAUUUUUUUGCAGGGUGCAUCUUCCGGUGGCUUUUUGACAGAGCAGCAGUGGAAGAGAGGGUUGCGAGACCUUGCUCGGCUGAAAAGAUCUUAUUUCUUUUCACACCUGAUGGAUAGAUUUCAUGGUCGAAAAUAUCUUAUUUCAUUUGACACUUGACUGAUAGAUUUCUUGGCAUUUAAUGCUGUAUGUUAACUCAUUUCCCCUUGGAAUGUUUACAGUAUGGUUGAUUGUCUUCUGGCUUCUGAUGUUGCUAGUAAGCUCCGCUCCCUGGGCUGCCGCACCUGUCCCACAGUGAGGGGGGAAAGAGGGUGAAGGGAACCUAAGGGCCAGACCUGUCCAUGUGCACCUGGGCCCCCGCUGACAUCUGUGACUCGGACAGCCUGAAACAGCCCCUCCUGCACUCCUGUCCCCUGAGGCUGGCAUGGGGCCCACCAAGCUAUUUCCUGCUCGUUUUCAGAAUGCCGGCAGGGCGAUGCCAGGAGAGCAAAGAGCAUCCGAAGGAAGCAUUCACUUGCCCCAUGAGCCUCGCCCUCCUCUCUGCGAUGCUCUUCAACCAGACCCAAGUACUAGGGGUGCCCAACUCGCAGCCCCAGGGCCGGGUGUGGCUCUGGUUGGCUUUGAAUGCGGCCCAACACAAAAGCAUGAGUUUACUUGAAACAUUAUGGGGCUUUUUUGUUUUCUUUAGUGUUUGUGCAUUUAAUGUGUGGCCCAAGACAACUCUUCUUCCAGCGUGGCCCAGAGACGCCAAAAGGUCAGACACCGUGCCUUCAUCACCCACUGUCUAAUUCUGAGACACUGCUGCUUUGGGACUGGGGUGACACAGCCACCCAUGACAAAGUGCUGUCUCAUCAGGAGCUCCAGGAGUGUUUUUUCCCCCAGUGUAGGUGAAUGUCAUUCAACCAUAUGUUCAAAUACAAGACUGCUUAGUUAAUUCCGCUGCAAUGAACUGUUCCUGGAACGGAAUUUAUAUGUUGUUAAUCUGUUUUCCAAUCUUUCCCCUUC